UACGUAGGGGGCUAGCGUUGUCCGGAUUUAUUGGGCGUAAAGAGCGUGUAGGCGGCCAGGUAGGUCUGCUGUGAAAACUCGAGGCUCAACCUCGAGACGUCGGCGGAAACCAUCUGGCUAGAGUCCGGAAGAGGAGAGUGGAAUUCCUGGUGUAGCGGUGAAAUGCGUAGAGAUGUGGAGGAACACCAGUGGCGAAGGCGACUCUUUGGCCUGUAACUGACGCUGAGGCGCGAAAGCGUGGGGAGCAAACAGG
rnacentral:rRNA from 1 species